rnacentral:rRNA from 1 species
UGAUUAGAUACCCCACUAUGCUUAGCCCUAAACACAGAUAAUUACAUAAACAAAAUUAUUCGCCAGAGUACUACUAGCAACAGCUUAAAACUCAAAGGACUUGGCGGUGCUUUAUAUCCUUCUAGAGGAGCCUGUUCUAGUA